UUAGACCUCAGAUCAGGCAAGACUACCCGCUGAACUUAA
rnacentral:rRNA from 6 species